rnacentral:rRNA from 1 species
UUUACAUUUGAGUGAGUGGCGAACUGGUGAGUAACACGUGGGAAACCUGCCCAGAAGCGGGGGAUAACACCUGGAAACAGAUGCUAAUACCGCAUAACAACUUGGACCGCAUGGUCCGAGUUUGAAAGAUGGCUUCGGCUAUCACUUCUGGAUGGUCCCGCGGCGUAUUAGCUAGAUGGUGGGGUAACGGCUCACCAUGGCAAUGAUACGUAGCCGACCUGAGAGGGUAAUCGGCCACAUUGGGACUGAGACACGGCCCAAACUCCUACGGGAGGCAGCAGUAGGGAAUCUUCCACAAUGGACGAAAGUCUGAUGGAGCAACGCCGCGUGAGUGAAGAAGGGUUUCGGCUCGUAAAACUCUGUUGUUAAAGAAGAACAUAUCUGAGAGUAACUGUUCAGGUAUUGACGGUAUUUAACCAGAAAGCCACGGCUAACUACGUGCCAGCAGCCGCGGUAAUACGUAGGUGGCAAGCGUUGUCCGGAUUUAUUGGGCGUAAAGCGAGCGCAGGCGGUUUUUUAAGUCUGAUGUGAAAGCCUUCGGCUCAACCGAAGAAGUGCAUCGGAAACUGGGAAACUUGAGUGCAGAAGAGGACAGUGGAACUCCAUGUGUAGCGGUGAAAUGCGUAGAUAUAUGGAAGAACACCAGUGGCGAAGGCGGCUGUCUGGUCUGUAACUGACGCUGAGGCUCGAAAGUAUGGGUAGCAAACAGGAUUAGAUACCCUGGUAGUCCAUACCGUAAACGAUGAAUGCUAAGUGUUGGAGGGUUUCCGCCCUUCAGUGCUGCAGCUAACGCAUUAAGCA